rnacentral:rRNA from 1 species
AUUGAACGCUAGCGGGAUGCCUUACACAUGCAAGUCGAACGGAGUUGCGAACGGGUGAGUACUGUAUCGGAACGUGCACAGUAGCGGGGGAUACCUACGCGAAAGCGUAGAUAAUACCGCAUACUAUUAGAGCGGCCGCUAUCGGAUUAGCUAGUUGGAGGGGUAACGGCUCACCAAGGCGACGAUCCGUAGCUGGUUUGAGAGGACGACCCGCCACACUGGGACUGAGACACGGCCCAGACUCCUACGGGAGGCAGCAGUGGGGAAUUUUGGACAAUGGGGGAAAGCCUGAUCCAGCCAUGCCGCGUGAGCGAUGAAGGUCUUCGGGUUGUAAAGCACUGUUGGCAGGAAAGCGGUACCUGCAGAAUAAGCACCGGCUAACUACGUGCCAGCAGCCGCGGUAAUAC